rnacentral:rRNA from 1 species
UACGUAGGGUGCAAGCGUUAAUCGGAAUUACUGGGCGUAAAGCGUGCGCAGGCGGUUAUGUAAGUCAGGUGUGAAAUCCCCGGGCUUAACCUGGGAACUGCAUUUGUGACUGCAUAGCUAGAGUGCGGCAGAGGGGGAUGGAAUUCCGCGUGUAGCAGUGAAAUGCGUAGAUAUGCGGAGGAACACCGAUGGCGAAGGCAAUCCCCUGGGCCUGCACUGACGCUCAUGCACGAAAGCGUGGGGAGCAAACAGG